UACCCAAAUACGUGAGAUUGUGUGGGCA
rnacentral:piRNA from 1 species